GACCGUCCUCUCCGAAUGGUACGUCAGAGCGUAGUACAGUGAGAGGUAGCGGUCAACAGUGAUAGCCAGCAAGCUGCAGACAGAGGCAGAGAAAGAGGCGACAAUGAGGCCGAUCGUGACCAGCUUGGUGGCUUCUGACUGAAGCAGGUGUCUCCCAUUGACUGAACCCAACUGGAAGCCACAAGGCGGGGAAGCCUGGGUAGUACCCUCCCCAGAGAUAAAAAGCUGCUGUGUCUCACUGAUACAAACAUCUGUGACACCACAGAAGGUCACCCCUUCAGAUACAGGCAGGAUAUGAACUAUGGAAACUUUGAGGUAAGACUAAUUAUUUAACUUGUUGAAUCCUCCCUGUUGGCAUAAAUGCAAUUGAUUCUUGCAU